UUUUUUUUCGGUUGGGGGGGAGGGGGAGGGGGGUUGUAGAUAUAUCAAACAUAAAUAUGUACAUCUGUUUUUAUGUCAUAUGUCUCAACCUCCGUUAAUUUUGUUUCCUCGGAAAUGUUUUUAAACGACCGAAAUACACUGUACUACAAAGACUACAAAUGUCUUGAGAGAAAGAGAAAUUCAGAGAGAGAAGCACAAUAAUUUAUUGUCACACAUGAUUAGAUCUCAAAGGGAGUUGCAGAAUAAGGAAUACUGGCGAAUGUCAAAAUUGAACAAAAAAGUUUGCAAAAUUAUAAAGAAUAACAACGGAAAAUAAAAUAAUUACUUAAUAUAAUAGUGUAGACCAUGUACAGAAUUUUACAAAAUCGUUAAUUGAAGAUUUUACAGAAUAAG
rnacentral:lncRNA from 1 species